rnacentral:rRNA from 1 species
AGCGAACGUUUGCGGCGGGCCUAACACAUGCAAGUCGAACGCACUAGCAAUAGUGAGUGGCGCACGGGUGCGUAACACGUGGGUAAUCAACCCUUCAGCCUGGGAUAACGACUCGAAAGGGUCGCUAAUACCGGAUACGGCGCGAGAGGCUUCGGCUUCUCACGAGAAAGCCACGCAAGGGGCACUGAAGGACGAGCCUGCGGCCCAUCAGCUAGUUGGUGAGGUAAGAGCUCACCAAGGCUAAGACGGGUAGCUGGUCUGAGAGGAUGAUCAGCCACACUGGAACUGAGACACGGUCCAGACUCCUACGGGAGGCAGCAGUGGGGAAUAUUGCGCAAUGGGCGAAAGCCUGACGCAGCCACGCCGCGUGAGCGAUGAAGGCCUCGGUCGUAAGACUCUGUGGGAGGAGACGAAGAAAGACCUGUGAGAGCAGGCCGUUGACGGUAGUCUCCUUACGCAAGCACCGGCGUAACU